rnacentral:ncRNA from 1 species
GCUCUUUUGCCACCGGGUAAAGAGAUAAAACGUCAGGCUUCCUAUCGUUAGGUCUUAGAAGAUAGAAAGUUCUGACGUUUUAUUUGU